GAUGAACGCUGGCGGCGUGCCUAAUACAUGCAAGUCGAGCGAACAGACGAGGAGCUUGCUCCUCUGACUUUAGCGGCGGACGGGUGAGUAACACGUGGAUAACCUACCUAUAAGACUGGGAUAACUUCGGGAAACCGGAGCUAAUACCGGAUAAUAUAUUGAACCGCAUGGUUCAAUAGUGAAAGACGGUUUUGCUGUCACUUAUAGAUGGAUCCGCGCCGCAUUAGCUAGUUGGUAAGGUAACGGCUUACCAAGGCAACGAUGCGUAGCCGACCUGAGAGGGUGAUCGGCCACACUGGAACUGAGACACGGUCCAGACUCCUACGGGAGGCAGCAGUAGGGAAUCUUCCGCAAUGGGCGAAAGCUUGACGGAGCAACGCCGCGUGAGUGAUGAAGGUCUUCGGAUCGUAAAACUCUGUUAUUAGGGAAGAACAAAUGUGUAAGUAACUAUGCACGUCUUGACGGUACCUAAUCAGAAAGCCACGGCUAACUACGUG
rnacentral:rRNA from 1 species